UUGAUGUUCAGAUGGUUUGGAGAAUCAGGAUCUGGAUCAUUGAACCAAAGAAUAAGGGGGUUGCUGUGGUGGGUGUAAUAAACCGGCUCUUCUUUCUUUGCUCUGCACACAUAGAACCC